rnacentral:lncRNA from 1 species
UAAUAAGACAUAGAUAUUUAAAGAAAUAGGCAAUGAAAUAUUAUUUGAAACUAACAAAAAUGUUGGCAUCUUAAUUUUGUGGAUUUUUGAGAUGACACAGGUAUAGUUACAUGUAUAUAAAAUCAUCUGAGCCAACAAAAGUAAAGUGAUGCUUGGGCAGUAAGUUAUAUCACACAAAUGUUUGAAUUUCCAUUGAAAGAAUAACUAUGAAAGGAAGGGACAAAUAAUGAGAAUGCUGAAAAUACUGUUUCCAGCAUUGACCUUUUAUUCCAAAGUUAACAGCAUCUCCCAUAAAACCUAAAAUGUGUUUUCCUGCCCAUUCAUACCUAAAUUAAAUAAACAAGUAGCUAGGCAUUGUGUCUCAUCCAAAGACCUUUCCUGCUUCUAUAAAAGAAAAAAAUAUAUAUAAAGGAUAAGAAUUGCAUUAGAAACACACAAAUUGAUUAAAAACAGCAACAUGCAAAUUAUUUUUGAUUGCAUAAUUAUAUUUAUAGUAUUUUUUCCAUAACUGCCCCAAACUGAAAGAAUCAAAUUUGUCUUUCAUUAAUUGAGUAAAUAAACCACCUCAAAAAGAAAACUCAAAACAAAAAACAUUGAUAUAUACAGGCAAGCAAUUAUUAUUCAAUGCCAGUAUACAAUGGGUCAUCAAGACUUGAAAAUACAUGAAGGAAACUUAUACGCAUAUUGUUAGUCAAUGAAAUAAAAUUUGAAGGGCUCUGCCUCUGUAGGAUAAAGGGUAUUUAGGAAAUCUCUGAACUUUCUUCUGAAAUUGGCUAUAUACAAUAAAUUUAUCUUUUAAAAAAAGUUAUGCCACAAUAGAUUAAGCAAAUCAGUUUGUAAAUAAAAAAGAGACACCUGAGUGAUUUUUAUAGAGAAACCAGAAGAAAAUUUUUAUCAAAAUUGUUUCUGCAUUCAAAUAAAACUUAAUUAGGAAAAUAAACAAUAUUACAGAAAAGAGACUGCACUAUAGGAUCAUAUGAAAAAAGAUAAUUAAGAUGAUUAAGAUUAUGAAGACUUUCAGAAUUUGGAAACACACUGCAAGAAGUUUAAACCAUCCUGGAGGUGUGGUAACUUAAGGCAAAGAAGUGAGAGAAAAAUGAGAUAAAAGAUAUGGAAGUCAUAAAAAAUUCACACAUUACUAACCUAUUAGCUACUAAAUAUGACAAAGUUUUCUGCUCUGAAAAGUCAUAAAGACAUUUUUCUUAUCCAAAGUUUGGAAAAGAAUAUUUUGAAAUGAAC